rnacentral:rRNA from 1 species
UUAAAAGAUGGCUUCUCGCUAUCACUUCUGGAUGGACCUGCGGUGCAUUAGCUUGUUGGUGGGGUAAUGGCCUACCAAGGCGAUGAUGCAUAGCCGAGUUGAGAGACUGAUCGGCCACAAUGGGACUGAGACACGGCCCAUACUCCUACGGGAGGCAGCAGUAGGGAAUCUUCCACAAUGGGCGCAAGCCUGAUGGAGCAACACCGCGUGAGUGAAGAAGGGUUUCGGCUCGUAAAGCUCUGUUGUUAAAGAAGAACACGUAUGAGAGUAACUGUUCAUACGUUGACGGUAUUUAACCAGAAAGUCACGGCUAACUACGUGCCAGCAGCCGCGGUAAUACGUAGGUGGCAAGCGUUAUCCGGAUUUAUUGGGCGUAAAGAGAGUGCAGGCGGUUUUCUAAGUCUGAUGUGAAAGCCUUCGGCUUAACCGGAGAAGUGCAUCGGAAACUGGAUAACUUGAGUGCAGAAGAGGGUAGUGGAACUCCAUGUGUAGCGGUGGAAUGCGUAGAUAUAUGGAAGAACACCAGUGGCGAAGGCGGCUACCUGGUCUGCAACUGACGCUGAGACUCGAAAGCAUGGGUAGCGAACAGGAUUAGAUACCCUGGUAGUCCAUGCCGUAAACGAUGAGUGCUAGGUGUUGGAGGGUUUCCGCCCUUCAGUGCCGGAGCUAACGCAUUAAGCACUCCGCCUGGGGAGUACGACCGCAAGGUUGAAACUCAAAGGAAUUGACGGGGGCCCGCACAAGCGGUGGAGCAUGUGGUUUAAUUCGAAGCUACGCGAAGAACCUUACCAGGUCUUGACAUCUUGCGCCAACCCUAGAGAUAGGGCGUUUCCUUCGGGAACGCAAUGACAGGUGGUGCAUGGUCGUCGUCAGCUCGUGUCGUGAGAUGUUGGGUUAAGUCCCGCAACGAGCGCAACCCUUGUUACUAGUUGCCAGCAUUAAGUUGGGCACUCUAGUGAGACUGCCGGUGACAAACCGGAGGAAGGUGGGGACGACGUCAGAUCAUCAUGCCCCUUAUGACCUGGGCUACACACGUGCUACAAUGGACGGUACAACGAGUCGCGAACUCGCGAGGGCAAGCAAAUCUCUUAAAACCGUUCUCAGUUCGGACUGCAGGCUGCAACUCGCCUGCACGAAGUCGGAAUCGCUAGUAAUCGCGGAUCAGCAUGCCGCGGUGAAUACGUUCCCGGGCCUUGUACACACCGCCCGUCACACCAUGAGAGUUUGUAACACCCAAAGUCGGUGGGGUAACCUUUUAGGAGCCAGCCGCCUAAGGUGGGACAGAUGAUUAGGGUGAAGUCGUAACAAGGUAGCCGUAGGAGAACCUGCGGCUGGAUCACCUCCUUU